UACAGAGGUGGCAAGCGUUGUUCGGAAUUACUGGGCGUAAAGGGCGCGUAGGCGGUUCGUUAAGUCCUGUGUGAAAUCCCCCGGCUCAACUGGGGAGGGUCAUUCGAUACUGUUCGACUCGAAGGCAGGAGAGGGAAGUGGAAUUCCCGGUGUAGUGGUGAAAUGCGUAGAUAUCGUGAGGAAGACCAGUGGCGUAGCGAAUCUCUGGACAGUUCCUGACGCUGAGGCACGAAGGCCAGGGGAGCAAACGGG
rnacentral:rRNA from 1 species